UCAUUCACAAUGUUUUGACUAUUUUACCGAAAAAGAGCGAAUGUUUCAAUUUUCCAACCUAAGUCAUUUAUUUGAUGUUAUAAUUACAAUUAUUAACGUCUUGUUAAAACAUGUGAACACAACGAUCCGAGAAUAUGCAAGCAGCCAUCAAUCUCUUUCACUAAAAUUGGUUGAUAAUGGAUUCAGAAUUCAGGACACUCUAUGUCUGUCUGUUACAGCAUCUGUCUCAUUUGUAUAACAAUCACUUUUUUUUGGUUUGUCGUUCCACUAUUAUUCCGUACAUACCAUAAUUUGACAAUGUUCGUUAUUUUGCAAAUGUGAGCUACACUACUAAACGAAAACCAUAUAUGAUAUUAAACUUAAAAAACGAUAUUUAAACAAUA